GCUCGCUUCGGCGGCACACAUACUAAAAUUGGAACAAAAAAAAAAAAAUAACAAGGCCCCUGCGCAAGGAUGACACGCACAUUCGUGAAGCGUUCCAUAUUUAA